rnacentral:rRNA from 2 species
UAAGUGAAGCGGCCUGGAAAGGCCUGCCGGAGAAGGUAAAAGCCCUGUAACUGACACUUCGUUCUCUCCCGAGUGGAUCCUGAGUACGGCGGGACACGAGGAAUCCCGCCGGAAUCCGGGAGGACCAUCUCCCAAGGCUAAAUACUCCCUAGUGACCGAUAGUGAACCAGUACCGUGAGGGAAAGGUGAAAAGCACCCCGGGAGGGGAGUGAAAGAGAUCCUGAAACCGUGUGCCUACAAGUAGUCAGAGCCCGUUAACGGGUGAUGGCGUGCCUUUUGUAGAAUGAACCGGCGAGUUACGGUCUCAUGCAAGGUUAAGCUGAAGAAGCGGAGCCGCAGCGAAAGCGAGUCUGAACAGGGCGAAAGAGUAUGAGGCCGCAGACCCGAAACCAGGUGAUCUACCCAUGUCCAGGGUGAAGGCAAGGUAACACUUGCUGGAGGCCCGAACCCACGCACGUUGAAAAGUGCGGGGAUGAGGUGUGGGUAGCGGAGAAAUUCCAAUCGAACUUGGAGAUAGCUGGUUCUCUCCGAAAUAGCUUUAGGGCUAGCCUCAAGCGAAGAGUUUUGGAGGUAGAGCACUGUUUGGACGAGGGGCCCUCAUCGGGUUACCGAAUUCAGACAAACUCCGAAUGCCAAAAACUUAUGCUUGGGAGUCAGACUGUGAGUGAUAAGAUCCAUGGUCGAAAGGGAAACAGCCCAGACCGCCAGCUAAGGUCCCAAAGUAUACGUUAAGUGGAAAAGGAUGUGGCGUUGCUUAGACAACCAGGAUGUUGGCUUAGAAGCAGCCAUCAUUCAAAGAGUGCGUAAUAGCUCACUGGUCGAGUGACGCUGCGCCGAAAAUGUACCGGGGCUAAACGUAUCACCGAAGCUGCGGAUG